GGCGUCGAGCGGCGGACGGGUGAGUAAUGCCUAGGAAAUUGCCCUGAUGUGGGGGAUAACCAUUGGAAACGAUGGCUAAUACCGCAUGAUGCCUACGGGCCAAAGAGGGGGACCUUCGGGCCUCUCGCGUCAGGAUAUGCCUAGGUGGGAUUAGCUAGUUGGUGAGGUAAGGGCUCACCAAGGCGACGAUCCCUAGCUGGUCUGAGAGGAUGA
rnacentral:rRNA from 1 species